rnacentral:lncRNA from 1 species
UCUUCUCUUAUGAUAUUUUUAGGGGAAGAUGAAGAAUGAUGCUAUAGCCUCUCACUUUUCCGCUAUCCGCCUUCUUGUGAUAGGGAGAUGAGGGAUGCAGACAUUGAUCACAUACUAGUUUUUCUGACCUUCUGCUGAAAGCCUUCAAAAUCCUCUUCUAGUCGCUUACCUACCUCGAGGAGUGACUCUUUUUCUUGUGUUUAG